rnacentral:rRNA from 1 species
CCUACGGGAGGCAGCAGUGAGGAAUAUUGGUCAAUGGACGAGAGUCUGAACCAGCCAAGUAGCGUGAAGGAUGACUGCCCUAUGGGUUGUAAACUUCUUUUAUAAAGGAAUAAAACGAGGCACGUGUGCCUUUUUGCAUGUACUUUAUGAAUAAGGAUCGGCUAACUCCGUUCCAGCAGCCGCGGUAAUACGGAGGAUCCGAGCGUUAUCCGGGUUUAUUUGGUUUAAAGGGAGCGUAGAUGGGUUGUUAAGUCAGUUGUGAAAGUUUGCGGCUCAACCGUAAAAUUGCAAUUGAUACUGGCAGUCUUGAGUACAGUUGAGGUAGGCGGAAUUCGUGGUGUAGCGGUGAAAUGCUUAGAUAUCACGAAGAACCCCGAUUGCGAAGGCAGCUUACUAAACUGUGACUGACAUUGAUGCUCGAAAGUGUGGGUAUCAAACAGGAUUAGAUACCCUUGUAGUC